rnacentral:rRNA from 1 species
GGUGAACGCUGGCGGCGUGCCUAAGACAUGCAAGUCGAGCGGGGCAGGUUUAUACCUGUUCAGCGGCGGACGGGUGAGUAACGCGUGGGUGACCUACCCGGAAGAGGCGGACAACCUGGGGAAACCCAGGCUAAUCCGCCAUGUGGUCCUGUCCUGUGGGGCAGGACUAAAGGGGCGACCCGCUUCCGGAUGGGCCCGCGUCCCAUCAGCUAGUUGGUGGGGUAAAGGCCCACCAAGGCGACGACGGGUAGCCGGUCUGAGAGGAUGGCCGGCCACAGGGGCACCUGGGACCGGGGCCCCCCCCGGACGGGGGGCGGGGUUAAGAAUUCUCCGGCAAGGGAGGAAGGUCGGCGGGGGGGCCCCGGGGGGGGGGGGGAGCCCCUUGGGGGUUUAACCCCCUGAAGGGGGGAGGAAGCCCCUGGGGGGGGGGUGGGGGUACCCAGGGAAAUAGCCCCGCCAACCCCCGU